rnacentral:rRNA from 1 species
CGUCUAUAUACGUAUAGCAUAUCAAUAAGCGGAGGAAAAGAAACUAACUAGGAUUCCCUCAGUAACGGCGAGUGAAGCGGGAAGAGCUCAAAUUUGAAAUCUUCAAGGUUCUACCUUGACGAAUUGUAGUUUAAAGAAGUGUUUUCUGUUGGUAGUUUUGGUAAAAGUUCUUUGGAAAUAGGACAUCAUAGAGGGUGAGAAUCCCGUAUUUGACCAUUAUUUCCAACUUUGUGAUACACUUUCAAAGAGUCGGAUUGUUUGGGAAUGCAGUCCAAAAUGGGUGGUAAAUUUCAUCUAAAGCUAAAUACUGGCGAGAGACCGAUAGCGAACAAGUACCGUGAGGGAAAGAUGAAAAGAACUUUGAAAAGAGAGUUAAACAGUACGUGAAAUUGUCAAAAGGGAAGCGUUUGACACCAGUGUUGUUUUCUCGAAAAUCAAUUAAAAAUGGCCGGAUUUUGUGUUGUAUUGACUUUAUCAGCUUUCUGCACUUUUUUCCUUGUCUUUUUUAAUGCACUUUUCGUUUAACAAGUCAACAUCAAUUUCUUUUGUUGUAAAAGAGUCAUUGGAAGGUGGCUUUCACUUCGGUGAAAGUGUUUAUAGCCUUUGACUUCUGCAAUCGGAGAGAUUGAGGUCUGCAGCGUAGAUCCUUCGGGGUUAGAUACAUUUGUGCUAAGUUAUAGCCUUUCAUAGACAACUUGUUGACUAUGAUCAGUCAUGUAGCUUACUCGCUUAUGCUAUUCUACCUACGCUUAGGAUGUUGACGAUCAGCUGAGCGCG